AUUACAUGGAGCAUUGGAAGCUGCCCAGAGGGUAGAAAAUGUUGCACUAUGCUAUACUCCGGCAAAGGAUAAAAAUGAUCCAGUAGUUCAAGUUGCAGUCAUCACCAUCCAUCUUCUGGUACUGCCUCUUAGUAAAGCCUGUACUGCUAUUAAAGAAAAUUGUCAACUGGUUCUGCAGAACACAGAAUACUUGUCUCCACUGAUGCUGACUUCCUUGGGUCAGUAGUUUUGGGUAGCCUUUCCCAAUACCUGGAACUCACCUGCAGGGAUGAUUUGGCAAGAUGUGCGCUUACCUGGAAGUGUUUCCAGACAACAGAUCCAACUGCUGAGGUUACUUUGGAUGUUCUCUGGGUGUAGGAACGGGGGUGGAAAUUGUCAUUCUAGUGAAGUAACCUUAGUCAGGGUGACUGUCUGUGCCCACUGAAUAGAGAGAACACCAGAUGAUGGGAUGAGUAGGAUAGACCAACAUAAGGAAAUACUGGGUGGAGGUGGGUAAACAGUUCCCAUCUGCAGUGCCAAACCCAAUGCUAGCAAUUCUAUCCUCAGUGGGGGCUAACAAUAGGACUCUACUGAGUGCCAGACUUCUCUGGAAGAGAAUCAUUCUCUUACUCACAGUCUCCUGUAAUACAAGUAGAUUAGGACAUCAUUCAGACUCUGCCUGCUCUACCUUCCAGUAGGAUUAACGCCAUACUAACAAUCAGAACCCCAAGACCGACAUUCAGCCUCAUGGUGUGAAGAUUUGGGAAUCUCUGUUUAAUUUAUGAAUUCCAUGUGAGGUUAUGAACUCUCAGUAUGUAUCUUUAUCAGACAAAACUCCAUUUUGAAUAUGGGGGCUAGUUGUCUUUUCUGUGGUCUCUUUGCCUCCAUGUUGUAGUGAUACAGGGCUGACAAUAAAGGGUUGUUAGCCAAGGGUGGUCUUCUGUUCACAUGCAAACAUCCGAGACAUUAGACUGGAUCUCCACAGGAGAACUGGUUUGUCUGGGAAGAAGUUACCUGGCAAUGAAGUCACCUAGGAAGGCAGAUCCAGGAGUUACCUGAGAGAGGGACAAGAAGGUUAAGAGCGGAUCUAUUUGGGAUUUUCAGCCAUUUUUACCAACUCAAGAUAAGGGAAGUUGGUGAAGGAGCUUAAUGAGGUAGGGGGAACUCUGCCUACCUGAUCACAGAUGAUUCCCCAAGGACCCCAAAGACUGAGGGACAUUGCGUUUAGGGUGUUUGUUGUUUUCUAUAUGAUGUGUACUCUGUGUAUUUCUCAUCCUGACGUAAAGAGAAAUAGUGUGUUAGAAUCCUAUGCAAAGUGUCUCUGUGCUUACAAAUAAAGGGCUAAAUCUAGCAAUCCUUACUUGGCCAAUAAGGCCUAGUCAAUGGAGUAGUGACCAAGUAGGGACUUGGGUGGAUUUGGCUCAUCGUGAUCACUAACACCUAAAGACCAAAUCCUAUCCCAUCAUCCAUAAGUGAUUCUGCUGGGAGAAGGAGGAUCAUAAGAGCUUCCAUACUGGGUCAGACCAAUGGUCCAUCUCACCCAAUAUCUUGUCUCCAAAAGUGACCAGUAUCACAGCUUCAGGGGGAAUGUAAAGAACAAAGAAAUUUUAGAGUGAUCCACCCAGUCAUCUCCUCCUGGCUUCAGGCAGUCAGAGAUUUAGGGUCACCCCAAGCAUGGCAUCGCAUCCCUGACCAUCUUGGCUAAUAGCCAUUGAUGGACCUAUCCUCUGUGAACAUAUCUAAUUAUUUUUUUAACCCAGUUAUACUUUGGUGAUCACAAAAUCUCAUGGCAAUGAGUUCCACAGGUUAAUUGCAUGUUGUGCAAAAAAGUACUUCUUAUGUGCAUUAAACCUGCCACCUAUUAAUUUCAUUUGAAGGAUUUGGGGACCUCGUGUCUCAGAGCAUGGGAGGUUGGAAGAUGGGGAAGGCUAAAGCAGGACAAGAAAUGCUUCCAAGCUGGCCACUCAGUCUACAUGCUAGAUUCCAAGAUGAGGCCCUAAAACGCAGGGCCGGCUUUAGGAAGUGCGGGGCCCAAUUCGAACAUUUUCGGCGGGGCCCCGACAGGGAUUACUUUAAAAAAAAAAAACACGUAAAAAACACCUUUCAUUUCUUCCAUGUAUUAUUUACUUUCCAUAACUAUAUAAAUAAUAAAAUUAUAUAUUACAUACAUUGCGUAAUGUAUGUGGAUGCA